rnacentral:tRNA from 1 species
GGACCAGUGGCGCAAUGGUAACGCGUCGGAUUCCAGUAAAUGGUGCUUCCCGAAGAUUGUCCGUUCAAUUCGGGCCUGGUUCA